rnacentral:sRNA from 1 species
AAUAAAAAAACUAUAGACUAACUUUUUUGCUGUGAAAGUGUGUUAAUUAUAUCUUCAACAUGAGAGAAUGCAUCAUUGGUGGUGUGAGAUAAAACCAUUGUGUCUUUCUAACCCACAUCUAACAAAUAUUUUAUCUAAUUGGGCAUUAAAAUAAUAAUAAGUGAAGGCUCAAUAACACCUAAAAAUGCAGCGAAUAUUCUAGCUUCCAUGCGUCAUAAGCAAGCAAAAAAAAUGGAGACUAUAUAUAAGUUCUUCUGUAUAAUUAGAGUUACAAAUUUGUGGAGACUAUAUAUAACUUCUUUUGCCUCCCAUGCGUCAUAAGCAAGCAAAAAAAAAAAAUGGAGCAAACUUUCAUCACGUGGAAAACUUGUCUUUCUUUUUUUUAAUACAUAUUUGAAGGUUUAAAAGAGUUAGGCAGGAUGUGUUAGCGACAAUGUUUUCGAAUGUAAUGAAAAAUAAUCUUUAAGAACAAGUGGUUAUGUACAAAUUUAUGCGAAUAGAUGAUAAAGUAGAUACAACAAAAAUGAUUGAGUAGCAAGAGAUGGAGAAAGAGAACUUUGCUAUAUUAAAAAAUGUGUUUGAGAUCAUUUUAUCAAUUUUUGAAGUAAUUGGCUACAUCGAAUAAUUUAUGUACUUAUAUAUAGUUUCUAUAUCAAUUCAUAUACUUGAUACAUAUAUUAUAAAA